UGAUUUUAGAGAUGAAGAAACCAACACCAAAUAUAUCAGCUUGAGAAGAUUCAAGAGCACACUUCAUGAAACAAGACAUGAAAUUAACGAAUAUCCAUGGAAACAUAAUUAAAUUAUCUUUGGAAACAUAACUGUAUCAAGGACAAACAAAAUUCCUUUAGCUAGCAGCUGGUUUGUAUCUUUAUAUAAUAUGCUUGCAUGGAAGCCCACAAAUAAUAUGCUUG
rnacentral:lncRNA from 1 species